rnacentral:rRNA from 1 species
AAUCAACGCUGGCGGCGUGCCUCAGACAUGCAAGUCGAACGCGAAAGUCCCCUUCGGGGGACAAGUAGAGUGGCGCACGGGUGAGUAACACGUAGGUAAUCUACCUUCGGAUGGGGAAUAACAAUCGGAAACGGUUGCUAAUACCGCAUAAUGCAGCGGCACCUAAUGGUGACAGUUGUUAAAGCGGGGGAUCGAAAGACCUCGCGUCUGAAGAGGAGCCUGCGGCGGAUAGCUAGUUGGUAAGGUAACGGCUUACCAAGGCGACGAUCCGUAGCCGGCCUGAGAGGGCGGUCGGCCACACUGACACUGACAUACGGGUCAGACUCCUACGGGAGGCAGCAGUCGGG